AAUACCCGCUGAACUUAAGCAUAUCAAUAAGCCGGAAGAA
rnacentral:rRNA from 1 species